rnacentral:rRNA from 1 species
UACGGAGGAUCCGAGCGUUAUCCGGAUUUAUUGGGUUUAAAGGGAGCGUAGGCGGGUUGUUAAGUCAGUUGUGAAAGUUUGCGGCUCAACCGUAAAAUUGCAGUUGAUAACUGGCAUCCUUGAGUGCACACAGGGAUGCCGGAAUUCAUGGUGGUAGCGGUGAAAUGCUUAGAUAAUCAUGAAGAACUCCGAUCGCGAAGGCAGUGUCCGGGGUGCAACUGACGCUGAGGCUCGAAAGUGCGGGUAUCGAAACAGG